UACAGAGGGUGCAAGCGUUGUUCGGAAUUAUUGGGCGUAAAGGGCGCGUAGGCGGUGCGGUAAGUCUGUAGUGAAAUCUCUGGGCUCAACUCAGAGUCUGCUAUAGAAACUGCCGUGCUCGAGUGUGGGAGAGGUGAGUGGAAUUCCCGGUGUAGCGGUGAAAUGCGUAGAUAUCUGGAGGAACACCGGUGGCGAAGGCGGCAUCCUGGACCGAUAUUGACGCUGAGGCGCGAAAGCCAGGGGAGCAAACGGG
rnacentral:rRNA from 1 species